CUUCACACCACAGUGACCACAGAAUCAAGUUACACAAAUUUUCCAAACACCUCACCCAUGAUAAAAAGAAUACUAAAUUUAUUGUAUCAUGACCUCACCUGACACAGCGACAAGAAUCUACAGGUCGAGCAAGUCUCGUAAAUUUCACGAUUGCGAGCCACGCUUCACGCAACCGUGUUUGCGUACUUGUGUUUCAAGUUGCGUGGUCGUACGGAGUUAUAUUUACCAAAUUUAAAUAUAAUCGUUUUCAAAAUUAAAUCAAUAUGUCAAUAUGGCUACUGGGUGUAAAAGAUAAAUCUUAUUCUAUCUGUUCUUAAUGAGUUUUAGAUAAUUUUAGUUGUAUUUCUUUGUAAUUUUGUGUUGUACAAAGAUUAAUUUAACAUUUUCUCUGGAAGUAUUAAUUUAGAAAGAUAAUAUGCUUCAUUGGUGUUGUGUUUUGAAGUGUGAAAUGUGAUAAAGUCAAGAUAAAGUUCACUUUUAAACUGAACUAAAUAAGGUAUCUGAGAGACAACAAUGGUUAAAUGCAAUACAAUGUACAGGUUUUACUAGCGAAAUGAAAAUUUUCCUGUCCUGUCUGCUGUAAUCAUUUUAUAUCUGGAAAACCAGCCGACUUAAUAGAUAAUAACAAUCUCCAGAUUGGGUUCCUUCAAUAAAUAUGGUCUAUAAACACAAUGAAAUAAGUUCCCCAAAAUCUAAAAUGGAGUGGUAUCAAAGGAGAAUUAAAGGGAAAAAUAUUCAUAUUGAAAUUAUUUAUAAGGCACUGGACUGUCUUAAAUUCUACAAUAAUACUAGGUGGGUAAAUGAUUUUAGACAUUUUUCAUUAAGAGUAGAUUAAGAUUAAGUAGAUUUUCAUUCAGUAGAUUUAAGACUUGUUUACACGGGUAGAGUAAUGAUGCAAGUACUUGAUAGAGUAGAGUAACUCUACCUGUAAAAAUGCUCAGCACAGUAGAAUAGCUGGUAGAGUGUAUAGUUGGAGUUAAAGUAGAGUGACUAGCAACCUAUGGCAAAGUAACUACUCUAUGACCACCACUACUGCCAAAAUGUCUACUCGGCUGCACACUCUACCCAUGGAACACGCUCAAUUAUGGCAGAAUAGAGUAGGUAGGAGAGUACAUGGGGGCGCUGUCAUUCUGGCUGGAAUUGUGUUUUGUGUAAAUAGUGAAAAUGAAGUUCACCGAAGAUGAAACUUUAAAACUUGUAGAGCUAUAAUACGGCAAAUACCAGUGUUUAUGGAAUUUAGGUAGUGUAUACUACAGAAAUAAAAGUUUGCAGCAAGCUGCGGAGGAUGAAAUCGUCGAAAGAAUGGCAAAGGGGGCUUUGGAGUAAACAAGCUUAAGCAAAAAAUUAAGAAUUUAAGGUGCACUUAUAAUCAGAGUGUUUAAAAAUACAAAAAUCAGUUUCACUAUACUAGCAUCAGUACUAUACUUGUACUCUCCUCACGUGAAUGGUAUCAAGCCAUUUUUGGUAGAGUACUACCACUACUCUACUCUCCUCAAAACUCUACCCAUGUAAACAAGUCUUUAGAAACAGUGGAAAAUGAGGUAGCUAGUAGAGUAGUAGUAGAGUAAAAUAUACUGGUUUAGCAAAUUGCAAUGUUUUAAGGUAAUACAGUAGCGAUAAACAGGUAGCCAAAACGUGUUCCAAGAUUGUCACUGUAAUUUUGAAUAUUUUUUCGAGGCAUUUGGCACACGUAUUCGUAAAAUAAUAAAGAAUGGCGGUACAGAGCCCAAUUUGAAAAAUAUAUUAAUAUGUGGAAAUUACUCUGUAAUUAUACAAUAUUUAAAAAACGAGCCUGUACCGCCAUUAAGAAGAACAAAAAAAUACACUUUCUUCAAAUAAACUUUUUUAUCCGAUGCCUAGAUUUUGUGUAAUUUUGGAACUACUAAUGAAAUAAAAAAUUUUAGUAGUUCCAAAAUAACACAAAAUCAGAUAAAAAAGUUGUAUUUGAAGAAAGUGUAUUUUUUUGUUCUUCUUAAUGGCGGUACAAGCUCGUUUUUUUUAUAUUGUAUUUAAUUACAGAGUAAUUUCCACAUAAUAAUAUAUUUUUCAAAUUGGGCUCUGUACCGCCAUUCUUUAUUAUAUUACGAAUAUGUGUGCCAAAUAUCUUGAAAAAUAUUCAAAAUUACAGCCACAAUCUUGGAACACAUUUUCGCUACCUGUUGAUCGAUACUGUUUCCUCUUAAGAUAGUUUUAAUAGUUAUUUAUGAUAUAAGUAUUAAAAGUACAAUUUUAAGACGCGCAUGUGAAAGUUAACUUGAAAAAAUAAUUUUAUUAAUGUUUUGACUUCCACAUCAGAUGUCAUUGUCAAAAUACAAAAUAUUUAUUAUUAUUAGGUUUGUUCUAGCAAACAGUCAAACUAGUCAAAAACCAUCAGCAAACAGUUGGUCAGUAAAAGAACAUAAUACAGUCACCAGUGCGAUCCCCUCUACUCGCGCUGGUCCACUAUUCGCUGAUGGUUUCAAACUGAUGCUAGAACAAACCUAUUAUUAUUAUGCAUAUCAUUAUCUGUAAAUAAUAUUUCUUCCGAUUGUUAAUUGUAAAGGAUAGAAAAAUUACCAUUUAUUUCAUUUUUUUUAGAAUCAGCUGAGAGAAGUGGUCUACAAAAAACCAGGAAGGAAACGGAAUAUGUGGCUACGAAAGGCAAAAGAAAGGUUUACAAAGCAAAUGUGACACAUUUUUUUGAAAUAUUUAGGAAUAUCAGUAAAUUGCAUUAAAAAAAUGUAUGAAAAGAUUUGUUCAAUAAAAAUGUUUAUAUUUA